rnacentral:lncRNA from 1 species
GGGCAUAGAUGAGGUGCCUUGGUCCCCUCUGAAAAAUUACUGGUCCCGUUACCCUCACACUCAGAGCACAAGAGCAGCAGCCGGGGAGCGGGGUGGUUACGCUGCCGAAGGUGAUUCCUUUCCUCUUUCCUUGGAGGCAAUCUCAGUGUCUGCUUGACUUUCCCCGUGUGUCUCUGCUGUAAAACACGGCUGUAGUGUAGAAACAUGGAAUCACUUGCACUGGUUUCCUAAAAUAAUCGGGAAAGGAUCCGAGGAUGUGCUGGAAAUGGCACGUAGGCUGGAGGGGGAACAGCCAACAGCUGCUGGUGGGGCCUGAGCUCUGCUGUGACACCAGCCCUGACGCCUCCUGCGCUGGGGACCCCGGCUCCGGCUGGAGACAGAUGUCCAUGAUGUCCAUGGAGCUGCUGGGAGCAGAGCUGGGGCAGGCUGGUGCACGCUUGGUCUAAUCCAGAAGGUGGCAAUGGCAAUCCAUAGACACUGGCCGGCUUGGAAAUGGGGAUUUCUUGGCGCUACGGCCCUUGUAUUUAGGGGAUGUUUUCAGCUGGCUGCUCUGAAGGGGCAGCGUGGUGGUGGCUUCUUGGCACGUGCUGAGCGGGCAGCCAGCCCUGAGCAACACCAAACGUUACAGAAAAUACACUUGGCUGCAAAAUGCACCUCUCUUAGGUUCCCCACCAGCCCCUGCUUCACCCACCACGUGCCCCCUCGCACCCCUCCGCAACGGGACCCCGGCUGCGCUGGCUCCUGCCCGUUUCCCUGUGCCCAGGGAAUGGGGAGCUGCGGCCUGAAAUCAGCAUCCUCCUGAAUGUUCCUGGGGCAGGGCAAAGCUCUGAUUGCGGGAUCGGGGAGGCAAGAGGGAUGCUGCUCCCUCUGGGAUCACCCCACGCUUACACACAGCUGGACCCAAAACAGAUGGACAUCGGGCUAAAAGAAAUGUCUUUAAAAAAAAAUCCUACUAAACUUUCCUUGGGAUAUCAAUUGUUUUUCAUUCUUCGGAGGGAUCCUCCUUCCUCCGCUGGAAAGGAAGGAUCAUGCCAGUGGAGUCGCUCCUUCCUCCUUUAUCUCUGCUUGGCUACAUUUGGAAGAGAUUAGCGUUGCAUUUGUUUGACAUCCAGGUUAAUAGCUUCCCUUCGUCCCAGUCUCGGCUUCCGGUUUUGGCUAUCUGGAAAGCCAGGCUGGAAAUUAAUCGGCAAACUCUGGGGAGAGGAUCUCGGAAGAAAACUCAGACCAGAUUUGGAAAGAGGCUCCUCUAAACCGUGCUGAUUUGGCUAGAAGCCACGGGUGGAAAAAUUAGAGAUUUUUCAAGAGUUUGCUGCCAAGGAGUUAAUGGCUGAGAGUUGAGGUCUUUAAUAAAGACACUGGUAAUUAAUUAUAGGAGUUGUCU